rnacentral:rRNA from 1 species
UACGUAGGGGGGCUAGCGUUGUCCGGAAUCAUUGGGCGUAAAGCGCGUGUAGGCGGUCCGGUAAGUCCGCUGUGAAAGUCGGGGGGCUCAACCCUCGGAUGCCGGUGGAUACUGUCGGGCUAGAGUCCGGAAGAGGCGAGUGGAAUUCCUGGUGUAGCGGUGAAAUGCGCAGAUAUCAGGAGGAACACCAAUGGCGAAGGCAGCUCGCUGGGACGGUACUGACGCUGAGGCGCGAAAGCGUGGGGAGCAAACAGG